GGGGUUGUGGCUCAAUGGUAGAGCACUUGACUGGCAAGCGUGAAAAAAUGGGUUCGAUCCUCAACACCA
rnacentral:tRNA from 1 species